GACGAACGCUGGCGGCGUGCUUAACACAUGCAAGUCGAACGGUAAGGCCCCUUCGGGGGUACACGAGUGGCGAACGGGUGAGUAACACGUGGGUGAUCUGCCCUGCACUUCGGGAUAAGCCUGGGAAACUGGGUCUAAUACCGGAUAGGACCACGCUCUGCAUGGAGUGUGGUGGAAAGCUUUUGCGGUGUGGGAUGGGCCCGCGGCCUAUCAGCUUGUUGGUGGGGUGAUGGCCUACCAAGGCGACGACGGGUAGCCGGCCUGAGAGGGUGUCCGGCCACACUGGGACUGAGAUACGGCCCAGACUCCUACGGGUGGCAGCAGUGGGGAAUAUUGCACAAUGGGCGCAAGCCUGAUGCAGCGACGCCGCGUGGGGGAUGACGGCCUUCGGGUUGUAAACCUCUUUCAGUACCGACGAAGCGCAAGUGACGGUAGGUACAGAAGAAGCACCGGCCAACUACGUG
rnacentral:rRNA from 1 species